GGCCUUAUAGUCAUAAUUUGAUAUAAAAUUGCAAAUUUUAUGGGGUAUAUUAAUACUAAGGCUU
rnacentral:tRNA from 2 species